CUAUAUAAAGGCAUAUUCUUUAGAGAUUUUUUCUAAAUAUUUAAAAUUUUAUGAGGAAUAUAGUCAAAAUUUUAGUAUCGUUCGUUAUCGAAUUUCCACGGUUUUUUCAAUACUAAAUUGAAAAAAGUGAUACUUCUAAGCCGAAUUUCGGACAUCGGUCAAUUCCAAACGAAAGAGCAUACUUUUUUCUAUAUAAUGGCAUAUUCUUUAGAGAUUUUUUCUAAAUAGUUAAAAUUUUAUGAGGAUUAUAGACAAAAUUUUAGUAUCGUUCGUUAGAGAAUUUUCACGGUUUUUUCAAUACUAAAUUGAAAAAAAGUGAUACUUCUAAGCCGAAUUUCGAACAUCGGUCAAUUCCAAACGAAAGAGCAUACUUUUUCUAUAUAAUGGCAUAUUCUUUAGAGAUUUUUUCUAAAUAGUUAAAAUUUUAUGAGGAA